rnacentral:rRNA from 1 species
UACGAAGGGGGCUAGCGUUGCUCGGAAUCACUGGGCGUAAAGCGCACGUAGGCGGAUUGUUAAGUCAGGGGCGAAAUCCUGGAGCUCAACUCCAGAACUGCCUUUGAUACUGGCGAUCUCGAGUCCGGGAGAGGUGAGUGGAACUGCGAGUGUAGAGGUGAAAUUCGUAGAUAUUCGCAAGAACACCAGUGGCGAAGGCGGCUCACUGGCCCGGUACUGACGCUGAGGUGCGAAAGCGUGGGGAGCAAACAGG